GACGAACGCUGGCGGCGUGCUUAACACAUGCAAGUCGAACGGAAAGGCCCUGCUUUUGUGGGGUGCUCGAGUGGCGAACGGGUGAGUAACACGUGAGUAACCUGCCCUUGACUUUGGGAUAACUUCAGGAAACUGGGGCUAAUACCGGAUAGGAGCUCCUGCUGCAUGGUGGGGGUUGGAAAGUUUCGGCGGUUGGGGAUGGACUCGCGGCUUAUCAGCUUGUUGGUGGGGUAGUGGCUUACCAAGGCUUUGACGGGUAGCCGGCCUGAGAGGGUGACCGGCCACACUGGGACUGAGAUACGGCCCAGACUCCUACGGGAGGCAGCAGUGGGGAAUAUUGCACAAUGGGCGGAAGCCUGAUGCAGCAACGCCGCGUGCGGGAUGAAGGCCUUCGGGUUGUAAACCGCUUUCGCCUGUGACGAAGCGUGAGUGACGGUAAUGGGUAAAGAAGCACCGGCUAACUACGUG
rnacentral:rRNA from 1 species